ACACCAGACUCCUACGGGAGGCAGCAGUGGGGAGUAUUGGGCAAUGGGCGCAAGCCUGACCCAGCAACGCCGCGUGAAGGAAGAAGGCUUUCGGGUUGUAAACUUCUUUUCUGAGGGACGAAGGAAGUGACGGUACCUCAGGAAUAAGCCACGGCUAACUACGUGCCAGCAGCCGCGGUAAUACGUAGGUGGCAAGCGUUAUCCGGAUUUAUUGGGUGUAAAGGGCGUGUAGGCGGGAAUGCAAGUCAGAUGUGAAAACUAUGGGCUCAACCCAUAGCCUGCAUUUGAAACUGUAUUUCUUGAGUGCUGGAGAGGCAAUCGGUAUUCCGUGUGUAGCGGUGAAAUGCGUAGAUAUACGGAGGAACACCAGUGGCGAAGGCGGAUUGCUGACAGUAACUGCCGCUGAGGCGCGAAAGCUUGGGGACCAACCAGGAUUAGAUACCCGUGUAAA
rnacentral:rRNA from 1 species